rnacentral:rRNA from 1 species
GCCAGACUCCUACGGGAGGCAGCAGUGGGGAAUAUUGCACAAUGGGGGAAACCCUGAUGCAGCGACGCCGCGUGAGUGAAGAAGUAUUUCGGUAUGUAAAGCUCUAUCAGCAGGAACGAGACAAGACGGCACCUGACUAAGAAGCCCCGGCUAACUACGUGCCAGCAGCCGCGGUAAUACGUAGGGGGCAAGCGUUAUCCGGAAUCACUGGGUGUAAAGGGAGCGUAGACGGCUGAGCAAGCCUGAAGUGAAAGGCGGGGGCCCAACCCCUGGACUGCUUUGGGAACUGUACGGCUGGAGUGCAGGAGAGGUAAGUGGAAUUCCUAGUGUAGCGGUGAAAUGCGUAGAUAUUAGGAGGAACACCAGUGGCGAAGGCGACUUACUGGACUGUAACUGACGUUGAGGCACGAAAGUGUGGGGAGCAAACGGGAUUAGAUACCCGAGUA